AUGGACAGAAAAGUUUUCUUAAUUUGCAGAUUAUGUAUAAUUUCAAGAUAUGUGUAUGGGUUCAAGUUGACAAAGGGUGGACUUAUGAUGGUUAAUAUUGAGUGUCAACUUGAUUGGAAUGAAGGAUGCAAAGUAUUUUUUCCGGGCAUGUCUGUGAGGAUGUUGCCAAAGGAGGUUAACAUCUGAGUCAGUGGACUGGGAGAGGCACACCACCCUCAAUCUGGGUAGGCACCAUAUAAUUAGCUGCCAGCAUGGCUAGGAUAAAGGCAGGCAGAGGACCAUGAAAGGACUGGACUGGCUAAGUCUUCUGGCUGUCAUCUUUCUCUCGUGCUAGAUAUUUCCUGCCCUUGAACAUCAGACUCCAAGUUCUUCAGCUCUUGGACUCUUGGACUUACACCAGCAAUUUUCCAGGGUCUCUUGGGCCUUUGACCACACACUGAAGGCUGCACUAUCAGCUGCUCUACUUUUGAGGUUUUGGAACUCAAACUGGCUUCCUGGCUCCUCAGCUUGUAGAUAGCCUAUUGUGGGACUUUACCUCGUGGUCAUAUGAGUCAAUUUUCUUAAUAAACUGUCCUUCAUAUAUUUAUCUAUCCUAUUAGUUCUGUCCCUUUAGGAAACCUUGACUAAUAUAUUCCCCUAUAAGUGAAGGGAAAAAUCAGAGGUAAUAGACUGAAUGAAAUGCAACAAGGUACAUAAAGUAUUUCUACUUGCACAAUCUCUUUGCCAACACUUGGUACUGCCAUUCUUUUUAGCAUUAGGCAUUCUAAAAGGUGUACAGGGUUUCCCAUUAUAAUUUUUAUUUUUUAACAUUUUGCAAGUAAAUAACCCUUAUAAACAUUGAUGCAAAAAUCCUCAAAUAAAUGCCUAGAAAAAUCACACUCACUACACAUCCAGAGGUUUAUCCACCAGAAUCAAGUGAGAACUAUCCAUGAAAGGCAAAGAGAAUUCAACAUAUGAAUCAACAUUUGUUGAUUACAAAGAGUGUAACACAAAUAAUGUAAAAUAACAUAUUACAACAAUCAGUGUGAUACAUCACACUUGUAAAAUGAUGGAAAAAUCAUAAUCAUAUCAUUUGAUGCAGAAAAAGCAUUAAACAAAAUUCAAGAUGGAUUCAUGACAAAAACCCACAACAAACCAGGAAUAGAAGGAAACCAUCUGAACAUAAUAACGACCAUAUAUUAAUAAUCAACAGGACCAUCAUACUCAAUGGUGAAAUUUGAAAAUCUUGAAAUAGCUUGACAUAGCAUUGAAAGUUCCAGAGCAACCAGUCAAGGAAAAUAAAUAAAAGGCAUCUGCAAAGACAAGAAAGAAAAAAAACUAUAGACAGACAACAGAAUCUCAUGUGUAGAGAAUUCCAAAGAUUACACAUAUACACACUGAACUAAUACAUGAAUUUAGCAAAGUUUCAGGACACAAAAUCAACAUGAAAAAAUUACUUGUACUUCAACACACCAACAAUAAAUACUCUGGAAAAGAGGUGAAACCAAUAGCAUUAACAAC
rnacentral:lncRNA from 1 species